GACGAACGCUGGCGGCGUGCCUAAUACAUGCAAGUUGAGCGCUGAAGGUUGGUACUUGUACCGACUGGAUGAGCAGCGAACGGGUGAGUAACGCGUGGGGAAUCUGCCUUUGAGCGGGGGACAACAUUUGGAAACGAAUGCUAAUACCGCAUAAAAACUUUAAACACAAGUUUUAAGUUUGAAAGAUGCAAUUGCAUCACUCAAAGAUGAUCCCGCGUUGUAUUAGCUAGUUGGUGAGGUAAAGGCUCACCAAGGCGAUGAUACAUAGCCGACCUGAGAGGGUGAUCGGCCACAUUGGGACUGAGACACGGCCCAAACUCCUACGGGAGGCAGCAGUAGGGAAGCUUCGGCAAUGGACGAAAGUCUGACCGAGCAACGCCGCGUGAGUGAAGAAGGUUUUCGGAUCGUAAAACUCUGUUGGUAGAGAAGAACGUUGGUGAGAGUGGAAAGCUCAUCAAGUGACGGUAACUACACAGAAAGGGACGGCUAACUACGUG
rnacentral:rRNA from 1 species